rnacentral:rRNA from 1 species
AUUGAACGCUGGCGGCAUGCCUUACACAUGCAAGUCGAACGGCAGCACGGGAGCAAUCCUGGUGGCGAGUGGCGAACGGGUGAGUAAUAUAUCGGAACGUGCCCAGUCGUGGAGGAUAACGUAGCGAAAGCUACGCUAAUACCGCAUACGAUCUAUGGAUGAAAGCGGGGGAUCGCAAGACCUCGCGCGAUUGGAGCGGCCGAUAUCAGAUUAGGUAGUUGGUGAGGUAAAGGCUCACCAAGCCGACGAUCUGUAGCUGGUCUGAGAGGACGACCAGCCACACUGGGACUGAGACACGGCCCAGACUCCUACGGGAGGCAGCAGUGGGGAAUAUUGGACAAUGGGCGAAAGCCUGAUCCAGCAAUGCCGCGUGAGUGAUGAAGGCCUUCGGGUCGUAA